rnacentral:rRNA from 1 species
UGGGGAAUAUUGCACAAUGGGCGCAAGCCUGAUGCAGCGACGCCGCGUGAGGGAUGAAUGCCUUCGGGUUGUAAACCUCUUUCAGUAGGGAAGAAGCUCCUGCUUUGUGGUGGGGGUGACGGUACUUGCAGAAGAAGCGCCGGCUAACUACGUGCCAGCAGCCGCGGUAAUACGUAGGGCGCAAGCGUUAUCCGGAAUUAUUGGGCGUAAAGAGCUCGUAGGCGGUUUGUCGCGUCUGCUGUGAAAGCCCGGGGCUUAACUCCGGGUUGGCAGUGGGUACGGGCAGACUGGAGUGCAGUAGGGGAGACUGGAAUUCCUGGUGUAGCGGUGAAAUGCGCAGAUAUCAGGAGGAACACCGAUGGCGAAGGCAGGUCUCUGGGCUGUUACUGACGCUGAGGAGCGAAAGCAUGGGGAGCGAACAGGAUUAGAUACCCUGGUAGUCCACGCCGUAAACGUUGGGCGCUAGGUGUGGGGCCUUUCCAUGGGUCCCGUGCCGUAGCUAACGCAUUAAGCGCCCCGCCUGGGGAGUACGGCCGCAAGGCUA